UGCAGGAAUGACCUAAUGGGUGGGAGGUGGGGAGAGGGUGGAAUCUGGAGUAACUACAGAAGUGGCCCUGAAUCACUAGAAGGGUGGAGUCACCAUCAGCUGACCUGGAAGACUGUGGGUGUAGGAGGGGUGAGAUGGGGCCACUGGGCUUGGCCUUGGAGGGGAUGUCUAGGUGGUCAGCUGGCCUCCAGUAGGUGUCUGCUGAGCGGUGGGCCCAGAAGGGUGAUGACAUGGGAAAGCCCAGCAGAGUGAGGGCACACAGGGCAGGGGUGCCCACCAGGAAGAGGUCAGGGUUUGAGUAGGGACCUCAAGCUGAGUCAAAGCCCUGGGAUAUUCUGUCAGCCGAGGGAAACUGUCGGUGGGUUGGACCAUUGGGACAGGCACUGCCCAGACCAAGGAGAGGAGCCUGAGGACUGUUGGCUGGAGCCACAGGGAGGAUGCUGUGCUGUGCUCCCUCUCAGGCAGCUCCCCCAGCCACUGGAAUGACUCAGGCUUUAGAAUACGUGGUGGUAUGUGGUGUACUUCAUUCUACUCCAUUAUGAUUCACUCUCAGGCUUUUCCUGGCUGUUCUCUAAUGUUUAUUUUUCCAGAUGAAAUUCAGAAUCAGAGUCAGAGUCAGAUUAUGUAGUUACUAGGAUCCUGUUAAAUCUAAUUCAUACGUCUGUAACAGUGUUUCUAUCCAGGAUGUCUUCCCAGAAGGAGAGAGCCGUCAGUCAGACCAGUGGUUCUCAUUUGCAGGGCGGGGAGUCGUCCCUGCAGGAGAUGAUUUGCAGUGUCAGCAGGAUGUCUGAUUGUCACUACUGGGCUGGACCUAGUGGGGAGAGAGCAGGGAUGCUGUUGACCCCCUGGAGCGCCCACACCAGCCCCCAGCACGAAGACCCACUGGCCCACAGGGCCACCAGCACCAUGUGGGGGCACUGGCCUGAAGACGGCUUGUUCUUGCUGAGUGUGGGCUGUUUCAUAGCGUCUGGCUUUUUCCAGUGCUCUCCAGUGGGAGGCUCUUAGUGAGUGGACAUUUUCCACUCUUUCCAGCUCCUUAGGUUCCGACCCAUCCUUGUGAGUGGGAGAUCACGCUGGAUGGUGCCAAGGUGUGCAGUAGUGUCCCAGAAGUGACCAGGCCGCACACCUGCUUACCCAGCUCCCUUCCAGCUAAAGUGCAGGUGGGGCCCUGGGCCCCCCCAUCGAAGGCACCAGGGGAGACCACGGAGGCUCUCAGAUGCAGGUCUCUGUGGCAGCAACCAGCAACCUCAGCAGGCUGUUCUGAAGCGGGUUUGGGGCACCGCUGCAGGCUGGCUAGCACUAAACCUCACCUGCCUGAUCUUUCUGUGGGCUUUUAAACACCCAUUUCAUCAAUUCCCUUUUCUUUCCCAGACUGUGCCUGUUUCUGUUGCCUACCACCAAAAGUGGACCCUGGUUGUCACAACAGGUCCAUCAUGUUGUGAUAAAACACCAGAGGGCAGUGAGGUUUCCCACAUUGCUUUAUGAGACUUUCUGUCUCUUCAGAAAAGUGUGGAAGGACAGAAACGUCCUGCCCCAAACAGCAAGCACAGUGAGAGACCAGUUGUCAGGACUGGGAACAGGGAGGCCCACAUUAGAAGCCUUCUUUGACACCAGUCUGUCUGAGGGUAACAACCGGACCCACGGCACAAACGUAUCAUGGAGCUUGAGUUUAGAAGACUUUAAGACACAUUAUUUUUGCCUUAAUUUUAGUUACUUAGGAGGGAAACUGUGAUGAUGUUCAGUGACAUAGAACUGUUUGACAGAGCCGGUGGAAUCCAUGUUGCACUCAAUGUCAGGCAAGGGAAAGCAAACCAUUUAUCAGCAGUACUUCUGGCAAUGGAUAAGGGCACUAUAGGAUGAAAGAGGGAACAAGAAAAACAAGGAGAACAGCACAGCUAAUGUGCAUUUCUCUUCUUCCUUGGAAAACAAAAUCGAUUUGGAUUCCUUGUCGAAGAAAGAACAUACCUCACGCUCCUCUUGCUGCGCACACACCCUGGCGUGCCUCGCCCCUUGGGGAAUGGGACAGGCUCAGGUCUGAGUUUCCACACGUGCCCUCCCCGCCCACUGCUGGGGCUGCAUCUUCUCCGCCUCCCUCCUGGCAAGUCCCUGUUCUCCACGCCUCCAUUCAACAGAAAAUGCGGCUUUCUCCUGUCCCCUCGACAUUUUCCCAUCUUUUCCCAACACCCUUGCCCCUCCAGUGAGAAAU